AGAGUUUGAUCAUGGCUCAGAUUGAACGCUGGCGGCGUGCUUAACACAUGCAAGUCGUACGAAAUACGAUGGGGUUUACUCUAUCGUAUGGCAGUGGCGGACGGGUGCGUAACGCGUAAGAACUUACCUUUUGGCGAGGGACAACCGCGGGAAACUGCGGCUAAUACCUCAUAGAGCUGAGGAGCGAAAGGUGAAAACCACCAAAAGAGAGGCUUGCGUCUGAUUAGCUAGUUGGUGAGGGUAAUGGCCUCCCAAGGCGACGAUCAGUAGCUGGUCUGAGAGGAUGAUCAGCCACACUGGAACUGAGACACGGUCCAGACUCCUACGGGAGGCAGCAGUGAGGAAUUUUCCGCAAUGGGCGAAAGCCUGACGGAGCAAUACCGCGUGGAGGAGGAAGGCCCGUGGGUCGUAAACUCCU
rnacentral:rRNA from 1 species